GAUGCCCUGCUGCGUUCGUGACGUCUGAUGAAGUUUUGAGCCAACACUCAAUACAAGGGAGCCAAACCUUCGUGAACUUCCUGACGCACGCGUCUCGAGUUCCGGGAGGCACCCACCUGCGCAAGCGGGUUCAAAAACCUGACGACACACGGCGAUGGCGGGGCAUUU
rnacentral:other from 5 species